rnacentral:rRNA from 1 species
ACCUGGUUGAUUCUGCCAGUAGUCAUAUGCUUGCUCAAAGAUUAAGCCAUGCAGUCUAAGUAUAAGCAAUUAUACAGCGAAACUGCGAAUGGCUCAUUAUAUAAGUUAUCGUUUAUUGAUAUACCUUACUACUGGAAACCUGUAAUUCUAGACUAAUACAUGCUAAAAUCCCGACUUCGAAGGAUUAUUAUUAGAUUAAAACCAAUGCCCUUCGGGCUCACUGUGUCAUAAAACUUCUCGAAUCAUGCCUUGCCCGGCGAUGUUCAUUCCAAAUUUCUUCCCUAUCAACUUUCGAUGCUAGAGUAGUUCUAGCAUGGUUACAACGGUAACGGAGUUAGGGCUCGACCCCGAGGAAGAGCCUGAAAACGGCUACUACAUCCAAGGAAGCAGCAGCGCGCAAAUUACCCAAUCCGACACGGGAGUAUGACGAUAAAUACUAUACAGGGCUCUUUGUGUCUUGUAAUUGGAAUGAUACAAUUUAAAUCCCUUAACGAGGAACAAUUGGAGGCAAGUCUGCCAGCAGCCGCGUAAUUCCAGCUCCAAUAGCGUAUAUUAAAUUGUUUGGUUAAAAAGCUCGUAGUAGAACCUUGGCCUCUGGCCGGUCCGCCUCACCGCUGCACUGGUCCGGCCGGCCUUUCCCUCUGUGGAACCGCAUGCCCUUCACUGGGUGCGGGAAACAGGACUUUACUUGAAAAAAUUAGGUGCUCCAGCACCUAUGCUCGAAUACAUUAGCAUGAAUAAUAGAAUAGACGUGUGUUCUAUUUUUGGUUUCUAGACCGCCGUAAUGAUUAAUAGGACAGUCGGGCAUCAUAUUCAAUUGUCAGAAGGAAAUCUUAUUAUGAAGACUAACUACUGCGAAAGCAUUCAAGAUGUUUUCAUUUAUCAGGAACGAAAUUAGGGAUCGAAACGAUCAGAUACCUCGUAUCUUAACCAAAACUAUGCCACUGGAUCGGACGAUUAUUUUUGACUCUUCGCACCUUACGAAAUCAAAGUGCUUGCUCCAGGGAGUAUGUCGCAAGCUAAACUUAAAGAAAUUGACGAAGGCACCACCAGGUGAGCCUGCGCUAAUUUACUCAACACGGAAACUCACCAGUCAACACAAUAGAUUGACAGAUUGAGAGCUCUUUUGAUUUGGUGUGUGCAUGCCUUCUUAGUUGUGGAUGAUUUGUCUGCUUAUUGCAUAACGAACAGACCUUAACCUGCUAAAUAGCCCGUAUGCUUUGCAACCCGCUUCUAGAGACUAUCGCUCAACGAUGAAGUUUGAGCAAUAACAGUCUGUAUCCCUUAGUUCUGGCCGCACGCGCUUACACUGACGAGCCAGCGUACUCCUUGCCGAAGCCCGGUAAUCUUGUUAAACUCCUCUGCGAUAGAGCAUUGCAAUUAUGCUCUUCAACGAGAAUCCCUAGUAAGCGCAUCAUCAGCUUGCGUGAUUACGUCCCUGCCCUUUUACACACCGCCCGUCGCUACUACCGAUUGAAUGCUCGAGCUUCGACUGCCCAGAGUGGCAACUACCACUCAGGCCGAAAGUAUCCAACUCGUCAUUAGGAAGUAAAAGUCGUAACAAGUCUCCGUUGGUGAACCAGCGAGGAUCAUU